CUACUUCUGAAUUGAACAUACAGACUCUAGUUCAAGCCCUCUUCCAUAUUGCUUGACAAUGUACGUGACUCCAUAGGUUCGAACACUAAAUUGAUAGUACAAAAACUAAUUUUUGUACUAAUUAAAGUGAUCAUCUAGCAAUGAUACCUGACGUCCGGAUAUAUCGAAUAAUUACAAAACAACAUUCUAGAACCCUGGCAUAUGGUUACCAUAUAAUUCAUCCCUUUGACCCAAUGCUUAAGAUGACCUCAUAAUUAAACUGUUAAACUCUUGACAAAUCAUCUGUAUUGUAUUUCAACCUUAUAAAUUCUAUGACUGAUCAUUAUCCUGGCCAAAAUUUUACUGAAUUGAAACAUAACAUAGCAUUAUCUCCUUAAACUAGGAGCAGUUCAAUCUCUUCUUGACUCAUAUACAGACUUUACAAGCACUUGACUAUGUCCAAAAACUUUUCAUCACUGUAUUAGAAAUAUAAAUAAUUCAGCAUCAAAGCACAGUGAGUUACUUGCAAGCCACCAUCGUGAUCUCAGGUCGAAGGGAUAUUUAUAUCUAUAUCCUUCACAAGUAGCUCUUAACAGUAGAGCACUCUACAUUUAAGUCACUAUUCAAUAAAAUAUACUCCUAUAUUUUAUCUGCAUGCUAUAUCAGUAUCUCCACACUCUUUGAUUAC
rnacentral:lncRNA from 1 species